ensembl:processed_transcript
AAAGGCGCCGCGGCGGGACGGCCGGGAGUAGGCGGCCGCUGCCUCCCGGAACUUUGCGGACAUCGCACCGCAGCUCCACAGCUCCGAGCCCCCGGCGCAGGAGGAGGCCGAGGCGGCGGCGGAGAGUCGGGGCAUCGCCCGGCAGUGCCUCCGCCUUGCCGGCUGCCGGCGGCUCCCGCCCCCGGUUAACCAGCGCUCGCUCUUAAAGGCGCCCGCUGCUGGUUAGGCCGCGAGGUAAGCCGGCACAUUGCUUUUGUCCUGGCAAUCAGGGGGCUAAUGGAGGAGGAUCAUGAGUUCUAGGACAGCUGGAGUAACAUGCCAAGUCCCUGUCUCAAAGGAAGGAAAAGAAGCCUCGCUCCAUAUGUACCCAAGGUUUACAGCAUAGCCAGGUACACAGGGUAAGGCCUAUAAAUGGUUGAUCUAAUGCUAGCUCAACUGAAAUUUCUCAGCACUGACUACACAUUCGAAUCACCAGAAAACUUGCUAAAAAUAGCACCUGGGACCCACCCUCAGUGAAGCUGGACAGAAAUGAAACAGAAGCUCCUUGGCGAUUCGGAUUCGCCAUGGCUGGGAGCCCCGGGAUGUCCACACAGCAGAAUUCAUCUAGACCUGGGGAGCAUGAUGGUAUGGGAGCUCUUUCUUCCAUACCCACAGUGAUCCUGACGGAUCUUUCUGGGUUUGCAGCGGUGCUACAGAGCAUGGCAGGCAGGUGGUAGACGUCUAACUGCUUUCCGCUCUGCACUGCCCCUGAAACAUUCUCAGCUGUGGUGCAGACCGCAUGUGGUUUAUCUCAGUCGGCAGCACGGCCUGAAUCCUAAGCCAUAAUCUCUUCUGUGCCUUUCUGCAUGUAUAAUUUAUGGGCAGUUAUCAGCACAUGGGAGUCUCUGGACGAGUUAAAAGGGAAGAAAACACCACCAAAGAGUUCCUCAGGAAGAGGUCUAGAAGCAAGAAAUAAGUGGUUUUGGAUCCCUGGAUAAUUAAAAUAAAAAUCACACAUUUAAUUUUAACUAUUUGAUUCUGACAUUAAUAUGAUGUGUGUGUGUGUGUGUGUGUGUGUGUUUGUGUACUCGUAUUGCCCCUUCUAAAUAUAGUAGUGAUGUGCUUAUUGGAAAUUUUAUUAAUAUUAAUUCCUCUUAAAUGUCUUAAAUAUAAAUUCCUCAUAACUGUAUUAGUUACUUUUCUGUUGCUGUGCUAAAACACCUUAACCAAUUUUUGGUGGUGAGGAGGGGGCUAUGGAUUCUGAGCAAGAAUCCAUGUUGCAGCAGAAAGCUGAAAGUCCACAGUCCUCUUCAGAACAAGAACAGAGAGGCCAAGCUUUCAGAAGUGGGCUAACAGUGUAAGUCUCAAAUUCCACCCCUAGUGAUGUACUUCCUCCAGGAAGGCUGCACCUCCUAAAAUUCUAGAACCCUCCCAAAUAGUACCACUAACUGGAGACACGUAUUCAAAUAUAUGAGCCUAUGAGGGACUGUGGACUUGGCCCAGCCAGCUAGGCUCAGUCUCCACAGAUCAAAGGGAAUGGCAAAUAUCUGAGUGAGGUAAGCAGAGGACUCAAGAUUAGCACAAAGAAGCCACUUCUUACUUUUAUUAUUAAAGCAAGCAAAACAUGAGGUGACGCUCAUAGUGUAAGCAAAUGCAAGUACAGUUGGCGAUACACCUAGCGUUGCCUCUUAUCAUCUCGGCCUUGUGAAGUCUUGCCCACAGAGAUAAUGAGGAUGUGUCAUAAAUUCCCUUUAUGCCCUUGCUUUCAAGUGAAUUUGUUUAUCAUAGUUUAUGCAUUUCUUUCUAAAAGGCCGCCCUGUGGGAAGAACAUUCUGCCCUUGGCCCAUACAUAGUUCACAGUAAGUUCACACUGUUCUGCCAAUCACAUUGUGCCUAAUGGCUGCUGCUUGGAGAACUGUAUAAAGACUCCCCGCUGGACAGGCUAUGAGUGGUUGUUCUCUCUCCAUGUGCAGGGCAACCCAACCUGUUGGAACAAUAAAUCCCUCUUGCUUGUUGCAUUGAUUCCGGGGCUCUGUGUCAUUCACUCAGGGAGUCCCCAGUAAGCUAAGGCUCGCCAGAGUCUUACAGAACCAGCCUGCAUCCCUCUUAGGCUUGAAAAGCGUUUUACAAAAAGACAAACUAGAUUCAUUCCUCUUUAUGGUUAGAUGUCUGGUUUUCAAGGAUGGGCUACCAUCUGUAACCUGUACUGCCUGUUCCAGGAAACAGCAACAAUGUCCUUGUUUCAAGAAGUUGUUAUGACCAUUUUGCAACCGUGACCAUCUUACAACCCUAUCUUUGUUUCAAAUGGUUAUUAGGACUACCUUGCAAUGACUACCUUGUUAUGUCCUGCUGCUGUAACACCACCCAUUUGUGUGCCAAAUUCUCUAUUUGGAAACUCCCCCCCCCCUGAGCUAUAAAAGCCUUUAUCUUCCCCAUGCCUGAUUCUGACCUUUUGAACCCCAUUUUAGCGGGAGAUGGUCAUGUAAAUAAAUUUAAAAGGCUUGCCU